AGUGAACGCUGGCGGUAGGCCUAACACAUGCAAGUCGAACGGCAGCACAGUAAGAGCUUGCGCUUACGGGUGGCGAGUGGCGGACGGGUGAGGAAUACAUCGGAAUCUACUUUUUCGUGGGGGAUAACGUAGGGAAACUUACGCUAAUACCGCAUACGACCUACGGGUGAAAGCAGGGGAUCUUCGGACCUUGCGCGAUUGAAUGAGCCGAUGUCGGAUUAGCUAGUUGGCGGGGUAAAGGCCCACCAAGGCGACGAUCCGUAGCUGGUCUGAGAGGAUGAUCAGCCACACUGGAACUGAGACACGGUCCAGACUCCUAUGGGAGGCAGCAGUGGGGAAUAUUGGACAAUGGGCGCAAGCCUGAUCCAGCCAUACCGCGUGGGUGAAGAAGGCCUUCGGGUUGUAAAGCCCUUUUGUUGGGAAAGAAAAGCAGCAGGUUAAUACCCCGCUGUUCUGACGUUACCCAAAGAAUAAGCACCGGCUAACUUCGUG
rnacentral:rRNA from 1 species